UUUCUUCUCAGUGUAUCGCUCCCGGAAGAAGUGGUAACAAGACAGAGCAAAAACCCUAGCUCCGAUCAAACAUUAUACAAAUUAAUAUCCGAUGGAGCCUGACGAGGAUUUAGGGCUAAUAGCCGAAGAGAUCUACGCCAACGGCGAUGAGAACAAGCAGCGUCAUCGGCCGAUUAUCAGCGGCGAGCAGCUCGAUAUUGAGGCGUACGCCGCCUUGUACAGUGGCCGGACAAAAAUCAUGAGGCUUCUCUUCAUAGCCGAUCGAUGUGGCAAUGCUUCAAUGCAAUUGGAGGCUUUGAGAAUGGCCUAUGAUGAGAUUAAGAAAGGGGAAAACACACAAUUGUUCCGUGAGGUUGUGCAGAAAAUCGAUGGACGUUUGGGCACUAAUUAUGGGCCAGACCCUGCUUGGGCUGACUCUGUGGAUCGCCGGGCUGAUCUGAGGAAGGAGAAGCUUGAGAGCGAACUCAACGCUUAUAGGACAAAUCUGAUCAAAGAGAGCAUUAGGAUGGGAUACAAUGAUUUUGGGGAUUUCUACUAUGCACAUGGACAGCUUGGAGAGGCAUUUAAGAAUUAUGUUCGUACACGUGAUUAUUGCACGACUGCGAAACACAUAAUCCAUAUGUGUUUGAAUGCGAUUCUGGUCAGCAUUGAGAUGGGCCAGUUCACACAUGUUACAAGCUACGUCAGUAAGGCGGAGCAAAGCCAAGAUGCUCUAGAUGCUAUUACAGUUGCAAAACUUCGUUGUGCUGCUGGGUUGGCUCACUUAGAGGCAAAGAAAUAUAAGCUUGCUGCUCGAAAGUUCCUGGAAGUUGGUCCAGAAUUAGGUAACAACUACACUGAAGUUAUUGCACCCCAAGAUGUUGCUACUUAUGGUGGACUCUGUGCGCUUGCAAGUUUUGACCGAGCAGAACUGAAGAGCAAAGUUAUUGACAAUAUAAACUUCAGAAAUUUCUUAGAGCUGGUACCCGAGAUAAGGGAGCUCAUUCAUGAUUUCUAUACAAGUCACUAUGCUUCUUGUCUGGAGUAUCUAGGGAAUCUUAAAGCAAAUCUGUUGCUCGACAUCCAUUUGCAUGAUCAUGUCGAGACACUGUAUGAUCAAAUCCGUAGCAAAGCUUUGAUACAGUAUACCCACCCAUUUGUCUCGGUUGAUUUGAAUAUGAUGGCUAAUGCUUUCAAGACGAGUGUUGCCGGGUUGGAAAAGGAACUUGAAUCUUUGAUCACUGACAACCAAAUUCAGGCUCGAAUUGACUCACACAACAAAAUUUUGUAUGCACGACAUGCUGAUCAGAGAAAUGCAACCUUCCAGAAGGUGCUGCAGACAGGCAAGGAAUUCGAUCGGGAUGUGAGAUCAAUGCUUUUGAGAGCAAACCUUCUCAAGCAUGACUACAUUGCUAGAACGUCAAGAAAACAUUGAAACGGAGGAGGAUGGUAGCACACAGUUUUGUUUUCCUUGAUUGCGAGGUUACGUAUGCUGCAUGAAGUUGACCAGACAAUUGUCUACAGAAGUUGGUUGAGUCUUGGAAAGCCAUGUCUUUUGGGGGCUCGAGAAAUUUUCCUGGAUAAUAGAGGGGACUGCUGUUCAUAUUUAUAGAUUUACCAGUUGCUGGAAAAGUAAAUAUUUUUUGCCUGGUCCUACUUGCUGCAACCUUUCUCUGUGAUGUGUCAUCAACGAAUGCUAAUCCAUUUAGUACCUUGUUUUUUUGUUCAUUCAAGAUGAAAGAUUCCAUGUAGCCUAUAUUGUUGAUGCUUAUACGUAUUCAUUAAUGGUCAUUAG
rnacentral:misc_RNA from 1 species